rnacentral:rRNA from 1 species
GACAGAGGGUGCAAACGUUGUUCGGAAUCACUGGGCGUAAAGGGCGCGUAGGCGGCCGAUCAAGUCGGGGGUGAAAGCCUGUGGCUCAACCACAGAAUUGCCUUCGAUACUGUUUGGCUUGAGACCGGAAGAGGUAAGUGGAACUGCGAGUGUAGAGGUGAAAUUCGUAGAUAUUCGCAAGAACACCAGUGGCGAAGGCGGCUUACUGGUCCGGUUCUGACGCUGAGGCGCGAAAGCGUGGGGAGCAAACAGG